rnacentral:tRNA from 1 species
AAGAUUUUAAGUUAAAUAAACUAAUAUCCUUCAAAGCUAUAAAUAUAAGUAUAUCUUUUAAAUCUUA